rnacentral:rRNA from 1 species
CCUACGGGAGGCAGCAGUGAGGAAUAUUGGUCAAUGGACGAGAGUCUGAACCAGCCAAGUAGCGUGAAGGAUGACUGCCCUAUGGGUUGUAAACUUCUUUUAUAUGGGAAUAAAAUGUUCCACGUGUGGGAUUUUGUAUGUACCAUAUGAAUAAGGAUCGGCUAACUCCGUGCCAGCAGCCGCGGUAAUACGGAGGAUCCGAGCGUUAUCCGGAUUUAUUGGGUGUAAAGGGAGAGUAGGUGGAUUGUUAAGUAAGUUGUGAAAGUUUGCGGCUCAACCGUAAAAUUGCAGUUGAAACUGGCAGUCUUGAGUACAGUAGAGGUGGGCGGAAUUCGUGGUGUAGCGGUGAAAUGCUUAGAUAUCACGAAGAACUCCGAUUGCGAAGGCAGUUCACUGGACUGCAACUGACACUGAGGCUCGAAAGUGUGGGUAUCAAACAGGAUUAGAUACCCUUGUAGUC